rnacentral:rRNA from 1 species
AAUCAACGCUGGCGGCGUGCCUAAUACAUGCAAGUCGGACGCGAAAGUCCCACAAGGGAUGAGUAGAGUGGCAAACGGGUGAGUAACACGUGGGUGACCUGCCUUCGAGUGGGGGAUAACGUCCCGAAAGGGACGCUAAUACCGCAUAACAUCCUGCCUUUUAAGAGGCGGAGAUCAAAGCUGGGGAUCGCAAGACCUAGCGCUGGAAGAGGGGCCCGCGUCCGAUUAGCUAGUUGGNGAGGUAACGGCUCACCAAGGCAACGAUCGGUAGCCGGCCUGAGAGGGCGGACGGCCACACUGGGACUGAGACACGGCCCAGACUCCUACGGGAGGCAGCAGUAGGGAAUUGUUCGCAAUGGGCGCAAGCCUGACGACGCAACGCCGCGUGGAGGAUGAAGAUUUUCGGAUCGUAAACUCCUUUCGAUCGAGACGAAUGGCCGUCCGGGUGAAUACCCCGGAGGAAUGACGGUACCGAGAGAAGAAG